rnacentral:rRNA from 1 species
CAGACGAUGCGUCAUGCAUAUCAAUAAGCGGAGGAAAAGAAACUAACAAGGAUUCCCUUAGUAACGGCGAGUGAAGCGGGAAGAGCUCAAAUUUGAAAUCUUCAAGGUUUUACCUUGACGAAUUGUAGUUUAAAGAAGUGUUUUCUGUUGAAGUUUCGGUAAAAGUUCUUUGGAAUAGGACAUCAUAGAGGGUGAGAAUCCCGUAUUUGACCAUUAUUUUCAGCUGUGUGAUACACUUUCAAAGAGUCGGAUUGUUUGGGAAUGCAGUCCAAAAUGGGUGGUAAAUUUCAUCUAAAGCUAAAUAUUGGCGAGAGACCGAUAGCGAACAAGUACCGUGAGGGAAAGAUGAAAAGAACUUUGAAAAGAGAGUUAAACAGUACGUGAAAUUGUCAAAAGGGAAGCGUUUGACACCAGUGUUGUUUUCUCGAAAAUCAAUUAAAAAGAGUUGGAUUUUGUGUUGUAUUGACCUUAACAGCUUGCUUCACUCUUUUCCUGCUUUUUUUAAUGCACUUUUCGUUUAACAAGUCAACAUCAGUUUCUUUUGUUGUAAAAGGGUCAUUGGAAGGUGGCUUUCUCUUCGGAGAAAGUGUUUAUAGCCUUUGAUCUCUGCAAUCGGAGAGACUGAGGUCUGCAGCGUAGAUCCUUCGGGGUUAGAUACAUUUGUGCUAAGCUACAGCUUUUCAUAGACAACUUGUUGACUAUGUUUAGUCUUGUAACUUACUCGCUUAUGCUAUUUUACCUACGCUUAGGAUGUUGAUAUGCAUGACUGAUAU